CGAAACAGAAACACGCGUAUGCUUUUGACAGUAGUAGUAAAAUAAGUGAAAACUCGAUUGCACAGACUGGUGUCGUUCUUAAAGGUUGCAGAUGUUGUGCAAGCGCUUGGUGUUUUGACUGCUGAUGAGACCCAAGCAGGAUGUCAACCCCCUACAGUAAGCAAGCACCGCUAAGAGUGAAGUGUGUGGGUAUCUGAAGGAGCCAAAAGGCUUUAAAUUUCGUCUCCAACGACAACAUAAUUGACGUUGGAGCAUAUAAAGUGACCACACUGUCAGCCCUAACUGAUGGUCAGACAUGGUACACCUCAUUAAGAAAUGGAAGUGACCCAGAUUUUGAAAAGGGUGGGUCGUAUAUAAUAAAAAAUUUCACCCUCUCAAAAAAGUAUUGCCGGCAGUGUAUUUUUUUAAACGGUUCUAGUAGGAAAUUUAAAACCUCUCCAUUGGCCAUAACUGAGGAGGCAGAGAGAGCUGCCAAAGAGGUCCUCUGUUCUCCUUCCCCAUUUGUAACCGGGGAAGAAAAGGAGAUCUUCACAAGCCCUGGGUACCUGAGUCUGCGUGGAGAUAUUGAAAAAGUGCAAGUGCCUAGGAUGACUCGGGGCCAGUAUCCCCUCCUGGACCUUUCUUUGAGGUCUGGAACAAAACUUCUGGAGGUCACUUUAUGGAGAGAUGAGGCAUUGAAGGUCCUGUACGUCGGGGAUAAGGUGGAGGUCAGCCACCUAAGGGCAAACAUUCGGCCCAAUGGAGAAGGCAAAUUUGACUCCUCAAACUAUGCGACUGUCAAGGUAAACAAAUAUAAAUUUCAAAGGUUAUCAAAGACAAGUAAACAGUCAUUAAUAAAACAAAUAAUAAUAAUUAAACUGCAAGCAAUGACAUCUUGUGAAUCGUAAUCUAUACAGUUUUACUGUUUAUAAUAAUCUAACUGUAACACUACCCUUAACCCUAAGUGUGGAUGUUUUUUUAUUUAUUUGUCACCAGAUCGUAGAG